CAGCUCCCUGUGGCUUCCAUUUGUGGUUUCCCUGUGGCUCCACCCACUCUCAGUUUAGGGAAGGGAACCAUGGACUCUGCAGGGUCAGGGAGGUACAGAUGGAUGAGACAUCUGGAAGGGUCACUGUGAGCCUCCAGAGUGACAUCAAAGCACAGGGUGUGCCUCUGGGGUGCCCUAAAGCCACAUGCGCCUGUUUGAUCAAGUGGCUACUUGCAUUCCCAUUGUAGUGGUUCUAUCAGAUAAAUGAACCUGGCUCUUGCCCGCAAGGCCUGGGAUGAGCAGAGCAGGCCCCAGGGCACCACGGUGGUCUGACCUAUUAGCCCGGCUUUUGUGUCCCUCUCCAGAGCCUGAGGGAGGCCACUCAGUUGCCAUCUAGAACCUAAAUCAAGUAGUGAGAGCAGCCCCAUCUUCAGGCAGAGGGGGUGGGAAAUGGCUGUGGCAGCCUUGUCCUUUCAGGGCCACAGGAACAGCACAAUAUUCCCAGGACUGUCUGAGUCUGUGUGUCACGGGAACCCAGGGGCUCACCAUCCAACCAUAGUGGAGUCUGAGUCAGGGAAGUUGCUCUGAGUACCCCACCUCUGUCAGCGCUGGCUUCCCUGUGCUCGGUACCAUCGCCACAUGUCUGUGUGGCCCUGAGAAGAGCUCCUGCAUGUUUCUAUCCCAGAUGCACACCGUGUCUUUUGGAGACGAGUCCCCACAGAGGGGACCCCCCACUUCUAGUGCAAGGACAGGUUCCUUGAGAGAAGGGACAUUUGGCUUGGCCACCAACAGACCCCUUAUCCUCUGCCAAGCUCACCUCAACCCCUGGCUGACAGAGCUGUCUAUACCUCUGGUCCUGGGCCACAGCCCUGAGACCCAUAGGCACACAGUGGCCGGAGCGCAGAGCCCAAGCAGCACACCCCAAGGUGGCACCAUCCCUGUAAGCCUGGCUGUCAGGCCGGAGUGAGGUGGUCCCCACCCUGCAGAGAGCAAAGACGCAAGAAGUCUGAAGCAGACUCAGGUUUGCUUUAUUAAAGAAUUGAUUUUU